rnacentral:lncRNA from 1 species
GUUCAAUAUUGUACCGAUGAUAUUAUCACAAAUGUUCUUCUCAAUGUGCUUUACAUCCAGAUUAUGACGAAGUAGUAGCUGCUUCCAAUAUGAUAGUUUGAAAAAAAUGCUUCGCUUCGUCCAAUUCAACUCAGCUUCAGUACGCUUUCAUUUACGAGUAUCUGAUAUUUUUUCAAAUUGGAUAUUUUCAAUGACUUCAAGUUGUUCUAAAACUUCUACUCUACUUAACUCUUUAGGUAGUGGAUGUC